AGUUUGAUUAUGGCUCAGAUUGAACGCUGGCGGCGGGCCUAACACAUGCAAGUCGAGCGGAAACGAGUUAUCUGAACCUUCGGGGAAGGAUAACGGCGUCGAGCGGCGGACGGGUGAGUAAUGCCUAGGAAAUUGCCCUGAUGUGGGGGAUAACCAUUGGAAACGAUGGCUAAUACCGUAUGAUGCCUACGGGCCAAAGAGGGGGACCUUCGGGCCUCUCGCGUCAGGAUAUGCCUAGGUGGGAUUAGCUAGUUGGUGAGGUAAGGGCUCACCAAGGCGACGAUCCCUAGCUGGUCUGAGAGGAUGAUCAGCCACACUGGAACUGAGACACGG
rnacentral:rRNA from 1 species